CGUCGUGAAGAGGGAAACAACCCAGACCGCCAGCUAAGGUCCCAAAGUCAUGGUUAAGUGGGAAACGAUGUGGGAAGGCCCAGACAGCCAGGAUGUUGGCUUAGAAGCAGCCAUCAUUUAAAGAAAGCGUAAUAGCUCACUGGUCGAGUCGGCCUGCGCGGAAGAUGUAACGGGGCUAAACCAUGCACCGAAGCUGCGGCAGCGACGCUUAUGCGUUGUUGGGUAGGGGAGCGUUCUGUAAGCCUGUGAAGGUGUACUGUGAGGUAUGCUGGAGGUAUCAGAAGUGCGAAUGCUGACAUAAGUAACGAUAAAGCGGGUGAAAAGCCCGCUCGCCGGAAGACCAAGGGUUCCUGUCCAACGUUAAUCGGGGCAGGGUGAGUCGACCCCUAAGGCGAGGCCGAAAGGCGUAGUCGAUGGGAAACAGGUUAAUAUUCCUGUACUUGGUGUUACUGCGAAGGGGGGACGGAGAAGGCUAUGUUGGCCGGGCGACGGUUGUCCCGGUUUAAGCGUGUAGGCUGGUUUUCCAGGCAAAUCCGGAAAAUCAAGGCCGAGGCGUGAUGACGAGGCACUACGGUGCUGAAGCAACAAAUGCCCUGCUUCCAGGAAAAGCCUCUAAGCAUCAGGUAACAUCAAAUCGUACCCCAAACCGACACAGGUGGUCAGGUAGAGAAUACCAAGGCGCUUGAGAGAACUCGGGUGAAGGAACUAGGCAAAAUGGUGCCGUAACUUCGGGAGAAGGCACGCUGAUACGUAGGUGAAGCGACUUGCUCGUGGAGCUGAAAUCAGUCGAAGAUACCAGCUGGCUGCAACUGUUUAUUAAAAACACAGCACUGUGCAAACACGAAAGUGGACGUAUACGGUGUGACGCCUGCCCGGUGCCGGAAGGUUAAUUGAUGGGGUUAGCGCAAGCGAAGCUCUUGAUCGAAGCCCCGGUAAACGGCGGCCGUAACUAUAACGGUCCUAAGGUAGCGAAAUUCCUUGUCGGGUAAGUUCCGACCUGCACGAAUGGCGUAAUGAUGGCCAGGCUGUCUCCACCCGAGACUCAGUGAAAUUGAACUCGCUGUGAAGAUGCAGUGUACCCGCGGCAAGACGGAAAGACCCCGUGAACCUUUACUAUAGCUUGACACUGAACAUUGAGCCUUGAUGUGUAGGAUAGGUGGGAGGCUUUGAAGUGUGGACGCCAGUCUGCAUGGAGCCGACCUUGAAAUACCACCCUUUAAUGUUUGAUGUUCUAACGUGGACCCGUAAUCCGGGUUGCGGACAGUGUCUGGUGGGUAGUUUGACUGGGGCGGUCUCCUCCUAAAGAGUAACGGAGGAGCACGAAGGUUGGCUAAUCCUGGUCGGACAUCAGGAGGUUAGUGCAAUGGCAUAAGCCAGCUUGACUGCGAGCGUGACGGCGCGAGCAGGUGCGAAAGCAGGUCAUAGUGAUCCGGUGGUUCUGAAUGGAAGGGCCAUCGCUCAACGGAUAAAAGGUACUCCGGGGAUAACAGGCUGAUACCGCCCAAGAGUUCAUAUCGACGGCGGUGUUUGGCACCUCGAUGUCGGCUCAUCACAUCCUGGGGCUGAAGUAGGUCCCAAGGGUAUGGCUGUUCGCCAUUUAAAGUGGUACGCGAGCUGGGUUUAGAACGUCGUGAGACAGUUCGGUCCCUAUCUGCCGUGGGCGCUGGAGAACUGAGGGGGGCUGCUCCUAGUACGAGAGGACCGGAGUGGACGCAUCACUGGUGUUCGGGUUGUCAUGCCAAUGGCACUGCCCGGUAGCUAAAUGCGGAAGAGAUAAGUGCUGAAAGCAUCUAAGCACGAAACUUGCCCCGAGAUGAGUUCUCCCUGACCCUUUAAGGGUCCUGAAGGAACGUUGAAGACGACGACGUUGAUA
rnacentral:rRNA from 1 species